GGGGGUAUAGCUCAGUGGUUAGAGCAUUUGACUGCAGAUCAAGGGUCCCCGGUUCAAAUUCGGGUGUCCCCU